rnacentral:rRNA from 1 species
CAGACCACAGGGAUUGCCCUAGUAACGGCGAGUGAAGCGGCAACAGCUCAAAUUUGAAAUCUGGCCCCAGCGGCCCGAGUUGUAAUUUGCAGAGGAUGCUUCUGGCGCGGCGCCUUCCGAGUUCCCUGGGACGGGACGCCACAGAGGGUGAGAGCCCCGUAAUGGUCGGCCGCCAAGCCUGUGUGAAGCUCCUUCAAAGAGUCGAGUAGUUUGGGAAUGCUGCUCUAAGCGGGAGGUAAAUCCCUUCUAAAGCUAAAUACUGGCCAGAGACCGAUAGCGCACAAGUAGCGUGAGCGAAAGAUGAAAAGCACUCUGGAGAGAGGGUCAAACAGUACGUGAAAUUGUUGAAAGGGAAGCGCUAGCGACCAGACGUGGGCCGGCGGCUCACCCGGCGAUCUCGCCGGGUUCACUCCGCCCGGCCCAGGCCAGCAUCGGUCACCGCGGGGGGAGAAGGGCGGCGGGAAUGUGGCUCCCCAGGGAGCGUUAUAGCCCGCCGUUCGAUGCCCCCGGGGGGGACCGAGGAUGCCGCGCCUCGUGCGAGGAUGCUGGCGUAAUGGUCAUUAGCGACCCGUCUUGAAACACGGACCAAGGAGUCGUCCGCUGGAGCGAGCGUUAGGGCGUAAAACCCGGUACGCGUAAUGAAAGUAACAGGUGAGAGCUUCGGCGCAUCAUCGACCGAUCCGGAAGGUUCCCUGAUGGAUUUGAGUAGGAGUUCCAGCGGACGUACCCGAAAGACAGUGAACUAUGCCUGUAUAGGGUGAAGCCAGAGGAAACUCUGGUGGAGGCUCGCAGCGGUUCUGACGUGCAAAUCGAUCGUCAAAUAUGGGCAUGGGGGGCGAAAGACUAAUCGAACUGUCUAGUAGCUGGGUUGCCGCCGAGU